UACGGAGGGUGCAAGCGUUAUCCGGAUUUACUGGGUUUAAAGGGUGUGUAGGCGGACUUUUAAGUCAGCGGUGAAAUCUCCGGGCUCAACCCGGAAACUGCCAUUGAUACUAUUGGUCUUGAAUGUUGUUGAGGUGGACGGAACGGGUCAUGUAGCGGUGAAAUGCAUAGAUAUGACCCGGAACACCGAUUGCGAAGGCAGCCCACUAAGCAAUGAUUGACGCUGAGGCACGAAAGCGUGGGGAUCAAACAGG
rnacentral:rRNA from 1 species